rnacentral:rRNA from 1 species
UACGUAGGGGGCAAGCGUUGUCCGGAAUCAUUGGGCGUAAAGAGCGUGUAGGCGGCCAGAUAAGUCCGCUGUGAAAUCUCGAGGCUCAACUUCGAGCUGUCGGUGGAAACUGUCUGGCUAGAGUCCGGAAGAGGAGAAUGGAAUUCCUGGUGUAGCGGUGAAAUGCGCAGAUAUCAGGAGGAACACCGGUGGCGAAGGCGGGUCUCUGGGCCGUAACUGACGCUGAGGAGCGAAAGCAUGGGGAGCGAACAGG